UAAUUUGUUUCAUUAAUUUCAACAAAACUUCGUUCAAUAAAUCUAUAAUAAAUAAUUAAGGAUCGAUAAGUGGAAAACAUUAAUCUUUAAAGGAAAAUCAAGAAUUCCCUAGCAAGGUUCCGAUACAAAAUGUAAGCAAUUAAACCCUAACACCAAGAUCUUUAAAAUUCAUGAUUUUCACAUAUGAAUUUAAUUGAUCAAGAUACAUACCUUGAUCCAUGGCAAUAGUUGAUAAUUUUAAAUCUGCAAAAGAGAAACUGUUAAAUUAAAGAAACUAUUCUCUCACUUUUCCUCUCUAUAAGUGAAUGAAUUAAUUGAUAAGUUUCACUCACGUUUAUAGGCAGAGAGAGGUGGUUUCUUAUGGGUCAUAAAACUGUCUACUUUUCAUCAAAGUGGACGGUUAUUAAACUGCCACUUCUCAAAUGGGCCGAUUGGAUUUAAUAAAUAUAAACCACUUUAAUUAAUUAUUUAAUGAUAUUACAUGGGCCACAAUUAAUUAAUUUUACAUCUGUUUCAUCUUCCUCUAGUAGUACGUUCGAAUCUUCAGAAUCUGAUUUGUUUGAAAAAAUAAACGCAUCUGAUUAGCAUGCAAAUGGUCAUUUACAAGACAUGUCUUCUUUGAUCCAACAACUGCCCAUCAAAAGAGGGCUUUCGGAGCAUUGCAAUGGCAAAUCACAAUCCUUUACUUCUUUAUCAAACGUGAGGUGCUUAGAAGACCUUGCAAAACCUGAGAAUCCGUAUAAUAAGAAUAAGAAGCUCAAGUCGUGCAAAAGUGAUGGAGGAAUUUAGAGGGGUACUACUGAUGUAGGCAGCCUCGGAAAAGCAAGAUUGAUUCAAGAAUUAUUCAAAAGAAGACAUCAAGAGGGUCUUGUGGGAGGAAGAGUUCGAGGCCUCCUAUACCCUCACCUCAUAGAUCAACUAGCUUUACAAAUCAAGCCCCUUUGUUUGCUUAAAGGGUUUAUCGCUUGGUGCUAGCUAGUAGCAAAUCCAAUCUUGUUUCAUUCAUCAAUACAAUUCUCUCUUCUUCAAUUUCCAUGAAGAAAAGAGAUCUUUAUUAGCUAGACGAUCAUUGCUUUUUGGUGUAGUGAGUUGUACAAGGAAGUAAUUAAGAAAAAAAUUAAACAAAAAAGGUCAUAAAUUUUCUUUUAA